UUCUUACAGGCCGAUAUUAGGUUACGCCACUGGCAUAUUGCAAAUUGGGAAUAUUUUCUAUGUUUUUGCGCAUGUGCGUUACUCCACCGACACGUAUUAAGCGGUGAAUAUUUCAUUCAUUGGUGCUUGCUUUAAAAACGAACAGGUGUGAUGGCGUCUUGGAAAAUUUUCAUGGGCAUAAUAUAGUUACAUAUCGCCGAAUUGCGGAUUUUCGAGUCCAUGAAUAAUCGAUGUUUUGGAGAUUGGUUUGUUAGACCAUUUUAUCCAUUUACCGUUACGGGAUCUGAAUACAUUUGCUUGACAUAACGCACCUGUUCUUCGCAUCACCUAAGCCAGAGCUUUGAUUGCCGAUAACCUCGAGGCAUCUCGUUAAUUAACGAGUUUUAAAAAGCCCUCUUUUUAAUUAAGAGGGUUUUACUUUUCCUGUUUUUUUUGUAUCGCACGUAAUUAUCUCAUGUCAAACUUGUGGUCACGCAUGGUUGGUUUCCCACUGCUGGACCUUAUUGUCAUCCGAUUGUCCACCUAGAGGCCGAUUGUAGCGGUUAUUACCCGAGCUGAGGGCUCCCGGAUAUCCUGAGAUUUGUAACCACGGGGGUGGACAACCGACACGAAGAAUCUUAAGGGGAGCAGGAACACCACGUAGCCGCCACGUUUCCGGAGAACGGUGAAAUAAACUUAGCCUUUCGAUAUUAGUACUAUUUGCCAUUGCAUAGGCAC